UACGAACCGUCCAAGCGUUACUCGGAAUCACUGGGCUUAAAGGGCGCGUAGGCGGUUCGGUAAGUCCGGUGUGAAAUCCCUCGGCUCAACUGAGGAACUGCACGGGAGACUGCCGGGCUUGAGUUCGGGAGAGGGAAGCGGAAUUCCGGGUGUAGCGGUGAAAUGCGUAGAUAUCCGGAGGAACACCGGUGGCGAAGGCAGCUUCCUGGACCGACACUGACGCUGAGGCGCGAAAGCUAGGGGAGCAAACGGG
rnacentral:rRNA from 1 species